GACAAGAAUGGGUUCUUUAGGAAUCAUUUCAUUUCCUCAUGGAGUUUUGUUGAGAGAGACAAAGAAAAGGAGAGAGAGAGAGAAGAAAAAGAAACAUCUUCCAGUGAGAAAAGAAAUGAUUUUGAGGAUGGACUCACUGGAUCUCUAGACCAGCAUCAGCAUUUUCUCUGGGCAGAAUCUCAGGCCCCGCCCUAGGUCUACUGAAUAUGACUCUGCAGCAUCACAGCAGCCCCAGGACAUUUCUAUGCACAUUGAAGUGAAAGCUAGAGAUUUGGAGCAGAAAGGUACCCAGGACACCAGGAUUCUUCCUCCAGAACAUGAUGAAUGAAGCCAUCAAAGCAACCAAGAUUUCCUUUCAAAACCAUUCAUGAACCUGGGCCCCACUGAGCAUUAUUGCUGAUAUUAUUCAUGCAUCGUUCAUCUCUUACAAUGAACUACAAGUUUCUGAGUGAAAUAUCCAAUACAUGUUAGUUCCUGGGGGGAGAAAUAACUUAGAAAUGCAGCCUGAGGCAGAACACACUGUUCCCACAUUGGCUUCCUCCCUCCUCUCUCCCAACCUCCUACCAAAUAUACACUUUUCUUAUCCUUUUUUUUCCCUCCAAAGUAGAUGAUUAGAGUAAAGAGUAAAAUGAUAGCUUCCCACCCCAUUUCCACAGGACACAUGGCACGGAGGGAGACAGAACUUUGGUCACCAUGAAACAUUAGGCAUUUUCACGAACAAAUCCUAGAGAGAGGAGGGAAGCUAUUUCCCAGCACAGACAUAUAUGAUGCUUUGAGUGGUUCGGUUAGAAAGAUUCAGCUGAUUGCUAAAAUCUGGGUAGGGGUAAUGCUUCAUGCUCUCCAUGGAGGAUGUUUCUUUAAUUGGGCAGUUUAAUUGCCAGCCACUUAGGAAUGCAUGUCAGGCCCUGCCAAUAAUCAAAUAGCCUUUGUCCAAACUAGCUUCCCCUCUGAAAUAGUUACCUCAACCUGUUAAAGCUCCCAGUGUGCUCAAGGAAAUCAAACUUUCCCUUUUUCACUUUCCAAGAAAUUUUUUGAGCAAAGAGCAAGUUGUCCAUACAGAGAAAAUCCAUCUGCCAAUAAUGCCAUGAAAGACUUAAGUAAGCGUCAUGGUUAUAAUGUGCAGAUUUAAUAUCUAAGGCAAUUAUUCCUAUCCACCUCAGAUUCUUAUAUUUAGCCAGCACCAGUCCAGGGAGACAACAGACAUCCCUGGGAGCCCAGCUUAUCUGAUAGGACAACAUAACCUUUAGGUCUGAUAACGGUGCCAAAUAUUGAAUACUUAAAAGCAAAUGUUAUUCUAAUUAACUGCAUUCAGAAAUGACAGCAGUUUCUCCUUCUAAAGCUGGCUUGAAGACUUUCCCUCAAUACUCAAAUCAGUAGCGAAGCAAAAAAGUAACAUGUGAGCAUAAAGCCAGUUUGCACUAGGAAACAGGAAGCAAUUCAUGACCUUCCAAACUGAAUAGGUAUUGUAAUCUAGUGUACUUUGCAGAGCACUAUAAGAGCAUGGUCAACAGGGAACACUCUGCAUAUAAAACCAACUCUCCUGAAGCUGGUAGGGCAGUUUCACAGGAUAGGAUUAUGAGAAAACAGGAAUAGAAAAACAGCCGAUCUAAUUUAUCCACUAUAAAUAAAUUUCUGUUCUUCCUGAAGUGGGUUUUCUAGGAGGACUCAAUGCCAUGGUGAGUUCCCCAUAGUUAUUCUAUUUAUUUUCUCUUUAUUAUUAGAUUUAUCACACAAGCAAUAUAUGUUUGUUGUAGACAAAUACUAAUAGAAAAUACUGAUGAACAAAGAGAAACGCAAUUUAAAUCAUAUAUAUGCACACAAAUCCUACUAUUCUCAAAUGACCGAUGUUAGUAUCUUCAUAUAAACAUGAUUUUUUCUUAUGACAUGACAUAUGUAUGAGUGAUAACUGAGUUUAAUGUGAAACACCUUUGUAAUAUUCUUUUAAAAAUUGAUGUAUUGUGUUUCCUUAUAUUGGGCAUAUGUUUACAUCAACAUUUAACAAUGUUCUAUUACAAAGAUGGCCUAUAAUUUACUUAAUGAUCCUGUUAUCAGAUAUUUGGGUUACCUCUAAUGGGUGUGUAUGGAAAUGUGCCCAAUGCCUGGCACAAAUUUCCCAGAGUUCACACUUUCAAAGAUUUCUGGAAAUCUCCAUGUUAGCACUUCAGAAAGCUAUCCAUUUAUAUGAGCAAUGCUCUCAGUGAGCAUCUUUUGGCAUUGUCUUUCAGAAUGCCUCCAACAUCUGCAGGGUGUGAGUAUUACACUUUUCCACUAUUAGGUACAAAGGCAGUCAGGGAGAAGAGAAAGCACAGUGCUCCAAAAUAUGAAAAGGUAUAACAAAAGUAUCCACUCAAAUCUUGAAAUUUCUAUACAGUUUUCCUUUACUUUAAACAUAUAAGUGAAUUUUUAAUUCUAUGCUCUCAGAUA